GUGAGUAACACGUGGAUAACCUACCUAUAAGACUGGGAUAACUUCGGGAAACCGGAGCUAAUACCGGAUAAUAUUUUGAACCGCAUGGUUCAAAAGUGAAAGACGGUCUUGCUGUCACUUAUAGAUGGAUCCGCGCUGCAUUAGCUAGUUGGUAAGGUAACGGCUUACCAAGGCAACGAUGCAUAGCCGACCUGAGAGGGUGAUCGGCCACACUGGAACUGAGACACGGUCCAGACUCCUACGGGAGGCAGCAGUAGGGAAUCUUCCGCAAUGGGCGAAAGCCUGACGGAGCAACGCCGCGUGAGUGAUGAAGGUCUUCGGAUCGUAAAACUCUGUUAUUAGGGAAGAACAUAUGUGUAAGUAACUGUGCACAUCUUGACGGUACCUAAUCAGAAAGCCACGGCUAACUACGUGCCAGCAGCCGCGGUAAUACGUAGGUGGCAAGCGUUAUCCGGAAUUAUUGGGCGUAAAGCGCGCGUAGGCGGUUUUUUAAGUCUGAUGUGAAAGCCCACGGCUCAACCGUGGAGGGUCAUUGGAAACUGGAAAACUUGAGUGCAGAAGAGGAAAGUGGAAUUCCAUGUGUAGCGGUGAAAUGCGCAGAGAUAUGGAGGAACACCAGUGGCGAAGGCGACUUUCUGGUCUGUAACUGACGCUGAUGUGCGAAAGCGUGGGGAUCAAACAGGAUUAGAUACCCUGGUAGUCCACGCCGUAAACGAUGAGUGCUAAGUGUUAGGGGGUUUCCGCCCCUUAGUGCUGCAGCUAACGCAUUAAGCACUCCGCCUGGGGAGUACGACCGCAAGGUUGAAACUCAAAGGAAUUGACGGGGACCCGCACAAGCGGUGGAGCAUGUGGUUUAAUUCGAAGCAACGCGAAGAACCUUACCAAAUCUUGAC
rnacentral:rRNA from 1 species